rnacentral:rRNA from 1 species
AUUGAACGCUGGCGGCAUGCCUUACACAUGCAAGUCGAACGGCAGCACGGGUGCUUGCACCUGGUGGCGAGUGGCGAACGGGUGAGUAAUAUAUCGGACCGUACCUUAUUGUGGGGGAUAACGCAGCGAAAGCUGUGCUAAUACCGCAUAAUCCCUAAGGGGGAAAGCGGGGGACCGUAAGGCCUCGCGCAAUUAGAGCGGCCGAUACCUGAUUAGCUAGUUGGUGAGGUAAAGGCUCACCAAGGCAACGAUCAGUAGCUGGUCUGAGAGGACGAUCAGCCACACUGGGACUGAGACACGGCACAGACUCCUACGGGAGGCAGCAGUGGGGAAUUUUGGACAAUGGGGGCAACCCUGAUCCAGCAAUGCCGCGUGAGUGAAGAAGGCCUUCGGGUUGUAAAGCUCUUUUGUCAGGGAAGAAACAGCAGCUCUAACACAGUUUGCGAAUGACGGUACCUGAAGAAUAAGCACCGGCCAACUACGUGCCAGCAGCCGCCGUAA